GGCAAGGCACUUAGAGAAGCGGGAGGAACAGAAUCUGAUUCUGUUGGUUGUAGGUGCAAAUCCUACCCUUGCCACCA
rnacentral:tRNA from 4 species